rnacentral:lncRNA from 1 species
UAACAGCGUUGACAACCCGGUGCACUGUGAAACAGUCUGACAACGCUCCUCAAGUUGUUGUGGGCCAGUUUGACAGCUAUGACGAACUGAAGAAAUUCGACCAAACGCUAACUGGACCAGUCAGGGAGGCUGUGGUUCAACAGCUUGCAAACAUUGGGGGUCCAAGCCCAGAGUCUUGCACGCGCAGGGUUUUGAGAAGUGUGCUGUCAGACAAACUUGCAUAAACAUUCUCAUGGCACGGACGAAAGGGGAAGAAUGACUGACUGUCUGCUUCUCUCAAAGUGCAUUGUUGAUGCUGUAAAGGUCACCCAUAAAUGUGACAAUUUUGUAGUGGAAAGUGCAACCAAAGACUGGCUUCGUCAUGCCCCGGCAAGAUGUGCAUCGGAAAAGUCAGCCAGCCAUCCUUCCAGCCUGCCAGCUAGUGAUCCAACCAGUGACUAGACGUGAUUUAGCCAUUGACUAGACAUGUGAUUCAGCCAGUGACUAGACCCAUGUCCCAGCCAGCGACUAGACCUGUGUCCCAGCCAGCGACUAGACCCGUGUCCCAGCCAGCGACUAGACCCGUGUCCCAGCCAGUGACUAGACCUGUGACCCAGCCAGUGACUAGACCUGUGA